rnacentral:rRNA from 1 species
UACGGGGGGGGCAAGCGUUGUUCGGAAUUACUGGGCGUAAAGGGCUCGUAGGCGGCCAACUAAGUCGGACGUGAAAUCCCCAGGCUCAACCUGGGAACUGCGUCCGAUACUGGAUGGCUUGAAUCCGGGAGAGGGAUGCAGAAUUCCAGGUGUAGCGGUGAAGUGCGUAGAUAUCUGGAGGAAUACCGGUGGCGAAGGCGGCAUCCUGGACCGGCAUUGACGCUGAGGAGCGAAAGCCAGGGGAGCAAACGGG